UCUAGAUUCAAUAAAAAUUUCAGAAAACCCGACAUUUUAUGUACCAAAAAGGUCCAAACAGAACCGAUGCAAGUGUCAAUAGCUCUCUCUCUUGCUACUGAUUCUUAAAUGAUUUUUACCAGUACCCAAAGGAAUGAAAUCAGCAACUUUCUCCACACUCUCAUCAACACUCCAAUUUUCAAAGCCACAAUUCGCAAACGUCAGUUUGGGCGGGGAGCAGUGGGGGUCUUCAAAUAAUCAAAAAAUUCCUUUUCUCCUCUGACAGUCUACCAACAGAUGUCAAACCAAAUUCAGUCUAUUGUAAAGCACUGGGACCUCCCUUCCAAGGACACGGGACACAAACACAGACACCACUGCACAAAGCUGUCCAAAAGCUCCUGGCCCGACAAUAAAACAAGGGGCCCAGAAAAGAACGAAUCAGAAGCCUCAAUAGGGUCCCGCAGAGACGACGGAAAUUAAAAUAGCAUUUAUUCAGGAGUAAACAGCAACAAAUUAAAGGAAGUUUCCCCAACCGGACUCUUGGGCCUUUCUCUAUUCAAGUUCAGGCUCAAAGCAGAUAUAUUUGCGGGGGUCCCUUCCCCUACAGGCAUCUCAACCGCUGCCAGGGUCCACAGUCGCUCAAAGGGCUGCUGUGCAGGGAGUGUCGGCCAGGUUUGGCGCACUGUCCCAGGUCCCGGGCGAAGGCGGCCAGGGGAAAUGGGUCUUAGAGAUUGCUAAGCAAACGGCACCAUUGGUGGUCUCCAGCGCCUGUAGAGUUCCCAAGUCAAAACUAACAUAUGGAUGGAGUCAGAGAAGGAGAGGAAAGCUGGGCCUUUCCGAAGAGUGGAUCUAUCUGGACUGGAAAUUACCAUUGAAAUUUGCUGCACAUUUUAUGGUGACCCCAAAACUCCUUUGCUUGCUUGCUUUAGAGUAUCAAUGUAUUGCCACUUUACUACCUGGAGCAAGACUAAAUACAUAGAUUCAUAAGUAGAUAUGCACAUACAAUCAUAUACUGCUACUCUCAGGCUAAUUUAGGAAAUUUUUACAUUCCAGAGCAGUAGCACUUUGCAGUUAGAUGAAGAUCAGUUGUGUUUCUUUCUAUGGUGAGUGAAAUGUGUCAGAGGAAAAAUCAAGAUAAUACAUCAUGGAAAAAUACGAAGGAAGUUCUUUAAUAUUUUGUGCUAUAGAAUUUUUAUCUUUCAAGUAUACUUUUUUCUUCUUGUCUAC